rnacentral:rRNA from 1 species
UGAGGAAUAUUGGUCAAUGGGCGGAAGCCUGAACCAGCCAUGCCGCGUGAAGGAAGACGGCCCUAAGGGUUGUAAACUUCUUUUGUACUUGGGUAAAGUCAGUUACGUGUAAUUGAUUGAAAGUAAAGUACGAAUAAGGAUCGGCUAACUCCGUGCCAGCAGCCGCGGUAAUACGGAGGAUCCAAGCGUUAUCCGGAUUUAUUGGGUUUAAAGGGUGCGCAGGCGGGCUUGUAAGUCAGUGGUGAAAGACUGCCGCUUAACGGUAGCAUUGCCAUUGAUACUGCAAGUCUUGAGUACAUUUGAAGUGGGCGGAAUGUGUAGUGUAGCGGUGAAAUGCUUAGAUAUUACACAGAACACCGAUAGCGUAGGCAGCUCACUAAGAUGCAACUGACGCUCAGGCACGAAAGCGUGGGGAUCAAACA